CCUGGGCAGUGGGGAGUGGUGAGCUCCAUUGUAUACACUUGGAAGCAGCCCAGAAAGGUGAAGACCUGUUCGUGAACUCCAGAGGCCAUUGGAAGCGUGGAAGGCUAUGGCUGGCACUCUUCCUCUUUUUCCAGUUCACUGAGGCAGAUGGGAGGACCGGAGGAGAAAGAAUGAAGGAUGGCAUUUCAGCCCGAGUAAACUCCCCAGGCCCGCUCUGUGCCAGGCGGUGUUGCAAGCCUCGGGUAGGGUGCUUCUAGCACAGUGCUUUGUGCACAGUAAACACUCCAGCGGCUGUUGACCAAUGAAUGAAUGAAGAUUGUAGGCUCAAAUAUUCAAGUUAUCAAAGUGCAAAGAAUGAGGGGUUGUUUGCACUGGACUUCAAAAAUAAAUAGCCUGGACCUGUACUGUCUUACA
rnacentral:antisense_RNA from 1 species